ACCAGCGUGGUGUAGUGGUUUGAGCACUGGACUAAGACUCUGGAGACCAGGGUUCGAAUCCCGGUUCAGCCA
rnacentral:tRNA from 1 species